UUUUUUUUUUUUUUUUAGUUGAAAGAAAAAAAAGGUAAAACAUGGAGAAGAUCAUGAACAGUAAUGGGUUUUAGUAUAUAUAAAUAUAAUUUGUAACUGUAUCUGUCCAAAUAUGCCGUGCAAGUUCUAUUCAUUAGCAGGUACUUUGAUUGCCAUGCAGUAAGAGCAUACAACGGAGAUUGGCUUUGUAUCAAGGCGUACGUCCCAUACACCUCUUUUAUGGGUGAUGCUGUCCACACACUUCUUUUAAUUACCAGUCGUCAUAUAGAAUGAAUUCAAGAGGAUCAAAUGACUAAAAUUAACAGAGAAUAUGUAAAAGAUAAACCAGAGUGUAUGGAUAACACCACCCUAUCUUAUUAGGAUAAUAACAUCCGAUGUGUUUGAUAUAAUCUUUUAGGGACUAACCAAAACAUUGAGUUACAAAAGUCAAACACUUCCGAUGAUGGAAGAACUAUAUCCACUUCUAUCGUCACAAAACUUGGACAAUAACAUCACACCACCAUACUUUGACGACUUCUUUAUCACCGGCAGAAUUUCCGAAUUCAACAAAGCAGCCGGAACAUACCCACUCUUGGCCGCCUUAGGAGCCGCCAGCAACCCCAAAAACAUCUUCCCUGUCUAAUACAAUGAUGUCACUUGGCGUCUUAACAAGAUGGGAGACUUUGGAGGGACUUUAUUGAGUACUCCAGAGUACUCAGUACUCUCAUUUGUUUAAAAAUAUAAAAAUCAAAAUCUAACGAUUAAAACAUCUAGAGUAUCCAUAUAUAGUACUGCUCAAAACUUUUUGAGACAUUGGACGUGAUCCCUCCUAGAAAUUAUUAAGUUAUACAGUAGUACACUUCAGCCGUGAUACUUUCAUUCAAAGGCUAGCUUUAUACUAAUAUGUGAUACUUUCAUUCCAUAUUUGAGAGCCAUUGGAUAAGUAUAAAGCUAACCUUUACAAUAUGAGCUAGUUAGUUAGCCUUCACACACACAGUGCCUGCCUAUCAUGUAACCAUUGACAAUGAUACCCGACAAUUUAUUUGGAGAGAGGGUCCUCACUCAUUUAUUUGGACCUAUAACUUCAUUUCAUAAUAACUCCAUCACAUCAUUUUAUGUACCAUAGUUUAUUCAAUUUCAAAAAUUAGUACACGCAAUAACAUGUUUUAUCGUAAAAUAUACGAGGUUUUUUAGUAUAUUAGAAAUACGAGAUGAUGCACCACAUGUCAUUAUAUAAAUGAAGAGAAAUUUUUUUUUUUUUUAAAUGUGCCUCCACUUAUAUAAUGUAUUGUACCACCCAAAUUCUGAAUAAGUGAAAGAUCUCUCC
rnacentral:lncRNA from 1 species